rnacentral:lncRNA from 1 species
UGCCCUGGUUCGUGCUGGCCGGGAACCACGACCACGCCGGGAACGUCACCGCGCAGCUGGCGUACAGCCACCGCUCCCCCCGCUGGCACUUCCCGCACCCCUACUACAGCCUCCGCCUGCGGGUGCCGGGCAGCAACGCCACGGCGCGGCUGCUGCUGCUGGACACGGUGCUGCUGUGCGGCAGCACCGAGGAUUUCGGGGCCGGGAGCCCACCGGCGGGCCCGGCGGCCGCCGCCCGCGACCGCUUCGUGCUGGUGGCCGGCCACUACCCGGUGUGGUCGGUGGCCGAGCACGGCCCCACCGCCUGCCUCCUGCGCCUGCUGCGCCCGCUGCUGCGGCGCCACCGCGUCACCGCCUACCUCUGCGGGCACGACCACAACCUGCAGGUCGGGGCACCCCCCCCGGGACCCCCCCCGGGUUUGGUUGGGGAGGGAUUCGUGGGAAUCUGACCCCCCCCCGGAUUUGGUUU